GUAAAAACCCUAUUUGUAAACAACCAGUCCUUUAACUAAGCGCUACGUCAUAAACACGGCGCGCUUGGAAGACCACGAUGUCAUCUUCCUUCUGUCAGGAGGAUCAAAGUGAAGCUACAGGAGUUUCAUUAACGUCAACAACUUGGACCGAACGGUUUGUUUUGCUUGAUGAAGAGCAGGAAGGGCAGCCUGGAGAGAAAGAGAAGCCGGGUUGAGCCCACUACCAUCAUCCACGUACCACGAGGAAGAUGAGGGAGAGAAAUGAUCCUACCAUUAAAGAGACUGUGAAAAGAACGUUGAGAACAUCACCACUCUACAGGAAGACACAGUCCAGUAAUGGGUGUCAGAAGUUCAGUAGUGAACGACAGAAACAAACAAUCCAAAUUACCUGCAGAACGCCCUUGAUGGACGCUUCAGCUGCAUCGUCAGACUGGCAGUACUGAGUCAUUUACUGAGAGGGGACGUGAGGGCCUACUCUGCGUGCUCAGAGUUCAAGCCCAGCAGGCUGCAGCGGUCCUGACAUAUUCUGGAACAGCAGCACAGUCUUUGGAUGACUCCUCUGAAGAUGAAAACAUGGCGAGUUCUUCUCAAGAGAAGCAGUACAGGUGUGCCUCAGCUCCACGGUCCCUCCUGCAGCCUCCGCUCCUGAUGCUAACCUCAUGUCUCCAUCACACCAAGCAGCAGACCUGGAUUGACAGACCUUUCUCCAGAGCUGCCCCCUCCCUCUGAAACCCCCCUCUCCAAAACACUAUUUGUGUAGUUUUUAAAGUCUUAUUUGCAUGAGAAUUGUUGAUCAUAUCAUUUCCAGCAGAUGCCUUAAUGUAAUGUUUGUGCACAAUAAAUGACAUUGAUCAUAACAUAAUGGUAUUUCCUUGCACUUCUACACCAUGAUAUUGUCAGAUAAGAUGCUGAUUACAUUAAAGCAGUGAAUGCUCUGCUUUAAGCAACAUAAACACACAAUGAUCCAAUGGAUCUGAAGUAGAAUGGGCACAUUACAUUCUGUAGAGAAUGCCUCAGUUAUGGAAGUCAGAAAAUAACUUUCUUUAUCUGAGGUUCCAGUCAUUUAUAGUCACAGCAAAGCACACAGGUCUGGUUGUCUAAGUGGCUCCCAUAUCAUAUUGUUUAAGAUGUGUAACAUAAAGUUUGUGUUUCAGUGCAAAAUUAGUCAUUAGUCAAGAGUUCACCUUCUUCUUUACACUAAAUUUAGGUGACCCAGAUGUUUCACAAUGCAAUCUGAUAAGGUCUUAUGAGAAACAUUCUUAACAUUAAAGAAAUCAACACAGAGUAUAGCAAUAACUGUUUGACUUUAAUCAGUAGCUGGUAAUCGGCAGCCUGACUUAUUCAAACACAUUAAUACUACAAUGAAUAAGGCAGGGGGUUUUCAUCAGAAAUCAUUUCUGGGACAUUAAUUUAAAAGAUCUCCAGUAUAAGCAAAUGUGUUUUAAAAUUGGUUUACAUCCAAGUGUGAGGCUGUCCUGGCACAUGGAAAUAAGAUAUAUAUAUAUUGUUUGUAUUAGCUUUCCCUCAGUUUAGUACUUGCACUUCUUGAAAAGCUCUAUAUAAAUAAGAUGUAUUAAUGUUUAUACAUUGCCCUCUAGUAUAUGUUUUCCUAAAAGACACUGUAGAUACAGAAAUAACAGUAUGGUUCAGGUGACAGUAAGUGGAAGCUGAAGGUAAUUUCCAUGUGCUCAAGAGAAACAUAACGUGACGAUAUAGUUGAUUUCUGAUAGAAGGCCCUGCAGACAGCGAGAAGCACAACAUGGUGGCGCUGUGCUUCAGCAUGAGGAGGGAGAUCGGAGAGAACCACGAGAUGGCUGCCAGGACGCAGCUGAAGAUCAUCGAGUCUCAGGAGUGGGGUGAGGAUUCACCGUCAGUGAACGUCUGAGUCAGGGUUCCUCCUCGUGUCAUGUGACCAUGAGUUUCACCGACUUGUCUCCAAACAGUCGUCACGCCGGAUCUGAAGAGCUCAUUGGUCAAAGUGUUGGGUCUGUUGAAGGACGCAGCUGAGAGCUUCUCCAAGGACUCGUGUGUGCGUCAGGCGACUCGCUGUGUCCUCACAGCUAAGCUAGUCGCUCUUCAGCUCCACUUCCUGAACCAGGGCUCAGACGUACGUGUCAUCAACCUGCGACCUGCGGUGCUGCUGAACACGCUCGUCCAGCUGCCGCGAUGCUACCAGGUCACUUCCUGUUCCUGCUUCACUGAAACACUUUCACAACCUUCAGUCUGUUGAUGUUUAGAAAACACAUUGUGUGAGUGUGGUGAUGUGGUGACGCAGCGUGGAGUCUUCUGACCGUUAGAAGACUCUUGAGAAGUAAAGUGCACGAUGUGGAAGGAGCCGCAGCUCCAACAGAAGUUGUGUGUUUUGUGCGGCAGGUGUUUGUGGUGUCGGAGGCGUACGGCGUCAGUCCCGACUGGGCCGAGGUUCUG